UAUUUAAUUAGAAGGGAUAAUUUCAUACAGCUUUAUGUAAACAUAUCGAAUAGUUGAUAUAUCCCUAUAAAAUUUAUGUUUGCAGAUUUAUCCCUUCAAAAGUUCAGUGAUGCUCAUAUUUGUUUCUCUUAUUUGUUAUCGUUAACUAAUUAUUUAUUUUUUAAAAUAAGAUAAGUAAAAUAUCAUUUUUGCCAUUAAAAAUAUAUCCUUCCAAAGGUCUCAGAAUCAUGCAAAAAUGUCCUUCCAAAAAAAUUCCCAAUAGUCAUUUUUUUCCUUUAUAAAAACUUACCCAAUCUACCAUGUUACAAACUCUUCAAUCUCUAACACUUCUCUCACUUCUUUUCUUUUUUACAUAUCAAUUAUUAAUUCUCUGACGUUCGACAUGGUGAAGCAACAAUGUAGUAGAUGAAAGAGAAUUAGAAAACCAUAGUUAUGGAUUUGAAACUAGCAUGAAGGAGAGAGAGAGAAAGAGGAAGAAGAAUUUUCAUUACUAGGAUUUUGAUCGAACUACGGUUUUAAUUGAGAGAAAAAGGUUUAAUAUCAGAAGUGUAAAAAGAUCAAUUUACCUCCCUCACUAUCCAAGGUUAAGUAUUUUUUCUAUUGUUAACUAUAUUUUUCUAAAGGACACUAACAGUAAGAGUAUAUUUAGUACCUUCAGAAUUUUUGGAGGAAUAAAUUUGAAACUUAUGUUUAGGCCUUGUUUGGAUGCAUGAUUUUGUUCGGUAUUUUUUUUUUAUUAACUUAAGAAGAAUAUAGUUUUUGGUAGAUGAAAAGUGUGAUUAAAUAUAUAUAUCAGAUAUCAAAUUCAGUUUUCAAUUUUUUUUUUUUUGCAAAUAAGAUAAAUCAUAUCAGAUGUGAAAUAUGUUAUCCUUAAUCUCCUGCCUUCAAUUACACAAUAAAAUUUUCAUGUCAAAUAAGGACCGUAUGGCUAGUUAAUUAAUUGUUCUCAAAUUAAGAGAGGUGAGAGGUGAGAGAGAGUUAGUGAGUUGAUUGCAUCUAGUGUAUAGUGUAUAGGUGCAUAUGAAGGGUUGUCUUUUAGGUUUAUAAAAGACGAGAGAAGGGUAGAAAAGAUUCAGAAAAAGGACUUGGGUUGUAGCUACUUUAUUGCAUAAGAGNCUCGUUUACUAAUCACCCUGCGGUUCAAAAAAUUUUCACUUUGGCUCUAAGGUUUUAAAUUUUAUUUUACCAAAACAUUCUACAUAAAAUAGGCUUAUAAAGUAAAAAAGAUCACAAGGUUGCAAAGUGAAAACUACACUAAAUCACGUGAGGGCAAAGUGCAACUUUUUAAAUUACAAGAUGACAAUUUAAAAUAACAUAAACCAAUGGAAGGGCAAAGUAAGAUUUUUUGUACGACGGAGUGGUAAAAAAAAUAAUAAUAAACCUAUGGGAGAGACAAUUUGAAGUUUAUUCUAAAUUUAAAGUUUUAAGAUACUGACAUAAUUGCACUCAAUCAUCAGUAAUUAAGGACGAAGUCUACUAUGUAAUACUUACACUUUAUCAUCAAUAAUCAACCAAUUAUAACUUUUUUUUAGAGAAAAAUAUAACGAAAAUAUUUUUCUAAUAAUAUGGCUAGAUGGAUGAAUCUAAAAAAGACAAUAUGAUUAGUGAAAAUUCUAUAUCAGUAAUAUAACCAUUGCAUUCUAAACUUUUUCCGCAAUAU
rnacentral:lncRNA from 1 species